UUAAGCGACUAAGCGUACACGGUGGAUGCCCUGGCAGUCAGAGGCGAUGAAGGACGUGCUAAUCUGCGAUAAGCGUCGGUAAGGUGAUAUGAACCGUUAUAACCGGCGAUUUCCGAAUGGGGAAACCCAGUGUGUUUCGACACACUAUCAUUAACUGAAUCCAUAGGUUAAUGAGGCGAACCGGGGGAACUGAAACAUCUAAGUACCCCGAGGAAAAGAAAUCAACCGAGAUUCCCCCAGUAGCGGCGAGCGAACGGGGAGCAGCCCAGAGCCUGAAUCAGUGUGUGUGUUAGUGGAAGCGUCUGGAAAGGCGCGCGAUACAGGGUGACAGCCCCGUACACAAAAAUGCACAUGCUGUGAGCUCGAUGAGUAGGGCGGGACACGUGGUAUCCUGUCUGAAUAUGGGGGGACCAUCCUCCAAGGCUAAAUACUCCUGACUGACCGAUAGUGAACCAGUACCGUGAGGGAAAGGCGAAAAGAACCCCGGCGAGGGGAGUGAAAAAGAACCUGAAACCGUGUACGUACAAGCAGUGGGAGCACAGAGCAAUCUGUGUGACUGCGUACCUUUUGUAUAAUGGGUCAGCGACUUAUAUUCUGUAGCAAGGUUAACCGAAUAGGGGAGCCGAAGGGAAACCGAGUCUUAACUGGGCGUUAAGUUGCAGGGUAUAGACCCGAAACCCGGUGAUCUAGCCAUGGGCAGGUUGAAGGUUGGGUAACACUAACUGGAGGACCGAACCGACUAAUGUUGAAAAAUUAGCGGAUGACUUGUGGCUGGGGGUGAAAGGCCAAUCAAACCGGGAGAUAGCUGGUUCUCCCCGAAAGCUAUUUAGGUAGCGCCUCGUGAAUUCAUCUCCGGGGGUAGAGCACUGUUUCGGCAAGGGGGUCAUCCCGACUUACCAACCCGAUGCAAACUGCGAAUACCGGAGAAUGUUAUCACGGGAGACACACGGCGGGUGCUAACGUCCGUCGUGAAGAGGGAAACAACCCAGACCGCCAGCUAAGGUCCCAAAGUCAUGGUUAAGUGGGAAACGAUGUGGGAAGGCCCAGACAGCCAGGAUGUUGGCUUAGAAGCAGCCAUCAUUUAAAGAAAGCGUAAUAGCUCACUGGUCGAGUCGGCCUGCGCGGAAGAUGUAACGGGGCUAAACCAUGCACCGAAGCUGCGGCAGCGACGCUUAUGCGUUGUUGGGUAGGGGAGCGUUCUGUAAGCCUGUGAAGGUGUGCUGUGAGGCAUGCUGGAGGUAUCAGAAGUGCGAAUGCUGACAUAAGUAACGAUAAAGCGGGUGAAAAGCCCGCUCGCCGGAAGACCAAGGGUUCCUGUCCAACGUUAAUCGGGGCAGGGUGAGUCGACCCCUAAGGCGAGGCCGAAAGGCGUAGUCGAUGGGAAACAGGUUAAUAUUCCUGUACUUGGUGUUACUGCGAAGGGGGGACGGAGAAGGCUAUGUUGGCCGGGCGACGGUUGUCCCGGUUUAAGCGUGUAGGCUGGUUUUCCAGGCAAAUCCGGAAAAUCAAGGCUGAGGCGUGAUGACGAGGCACUACGGUGCUGAAGCAACAAAUGCCCUGCUUCCAGGAAAAGCCUCUAAGCAUCAGGUAACAUCAAAUCGUACCCCAAACCGACACAGGUGGUCAGGUAGAGAAUACCAAGGCGCUUGAGAGAACUCGGGUGAAGGAACUAGGCAAAAUGGUGCCGUAACUUCGGGAGAAGGCACGCUGAUAUGUAGGUGAAGUCCCUCGCGGAUGGAGCUGAAAUCAGUCGAAGAUACCAGCUGGCUGCAACUGUUUAUUAAAAACACAGCACUGUGCAAACACGAAAGUGGACGUAUACGGUGUGACGCCUGCCCGGUGCCGGAAGGUUAAUUGAUGGGGUUAGCGCAAGCGAAGCUCUUGAUCGAAGCCCCGGUAAACGGCGGCCGUAACUAUAACGGUCCUAAGGUAGCGAAAUUCCUUGUCGGGUAAGUUCCGACCUGCACGAAUGGCGUAAUGAUGGCCAGGCUGUCUCCACCCGAGACUCAGUGAAAUUGAACUCGCUGUGAAGAUGCAGUGUACCCGCGGCAAGACGGAAAGACCCCGUGAACCUUUACUAUAGCUUGACACUGAACAUUGAGCCUUGAUGUGUAGGAUAGGUGGGAGGCUUUGAAGUGUGGACGCCAGUCUGCAUGGAGCCGACCUUGAAAUACCACCCUUUAAUGUUUGAUGUUCUAACGUUGACCCGUAAUCCGGGUUGCGGACAGUGUCUGGUGGGUAGUUUGACUGGGGCGGUCUCCUCCUAAAGAGUAACGGAGGAGCACGAAGGUUGGCUAAUCCUGGUCGGACAUCAGGAGGUUAGUGCAAUGGCAUAAGCCAGCUUGACUGCGAGCGUGACGGCGCGAGCAGGUGCGAAAGCAGGUCAUAGUGAUCCGGUGGUUCUGAAUGGAAGGGCCAUCGCUCAACGGAUAAAAGGUACUCCGGGGAUAACAGGCUGAUACCGCCCAAGAGUUCAUAUCGACGGCGGUGUUUGGCACCUCGAUGUCGGCUCAUCACAUCCUGGGGCUGAAGUAGGUCCCAAGGGUAUGGCUGUUCGCCAUUUAAAGUGGUACGCGAGCUGGGUUUAGAACGUCGUGAGACAGUUCGGUCCCUAUCUGCCGUGGGCGCUGGAGAACUGAGGGGGGCUGCUCCUAGUACGAGAGGACCGGAGUGGACGCAUCACUGGUGUUCGGGUUGUCAUGCCAAUGGCACUGCCCGGUAGCUAAAUGCGGAAGAGAUAAGUGCUGAAAGCAUCUAAGCACGAAACUUGCCCCGAGAUGAGUUCUCCCUGACUCCUUGAGAGUCCUGAAGGAACGUUGAAGACGACGACGUUGAUAGGCCGGGUGUGUAAGCGCAGCGAUGCGUUGAGCUAACCGGUACUAAUGAACCGUGAGGCUUAACCUU
rnacentral:rRNA from 1 species